rfam:Glycine soja cultivar W05 scaffold1029_33, whole genome shotgun sequence.
GUUGUUCACUCUCCCUCAAGGGCUUCUCGCUUGAACCAAUUAGUGCGUGAUCAUUGGGUCCAAGAGCGAGACUAGCUAGAGGCCCUUGGGGAGGAGUAAAUAA